GGUCCAGGGCUUAUUCAAAUUUAAACAAUAUUUGCUUUGUUUGGUUCAAUUUUUAUUGUCGAAUCAUCUUUUCACGCGGGCCUCUAUUACGGGUGAGCAUUGAAUACCCAUUCAAUAGAUAGGGUUCUAAAUUGGCUAUUCUUUGUCGUCCAUAAUUGUCUUCUACUUUUGAAGGCCAAAAUCUCCUUUCAUUUGCCUUUUUCAUUUUCUUUGGAUGCUCAUGUUACAGUGAGUAACAAAGUUGGAGACAAAAUCUAUCGCCCUUAUUGGAUUUUCUCACGUUAUUUUAAAUCAUCAAUCGACGCCGACCUUAAACAAGAAUAAAACGAGGAACAAACAACCUCCGAUUGUCGAAUUAACGAGGUAUAUUUUGCUUUUAUAGCAAUAAUCCAAUUAAGAACAUAAGCUUGAAUUUUGUGCACUACUAAAUAGCAGGGCCAUAGUUAGUAUCUCUUAUUUCCAUGAACAUCAUAUUUAAUGGCUCGUUUGGCUAUAAUAGUACAAAGUGAAAGGCAAAAAAGAAUUGGUCUUACAUUGACAGUAUGGUUGCAGAUGUUUACAAUUGCGAGUUGGUUCUUAGUUAUGUUGGGUGGUGUCUCUAGCCUAUAUACUUAUAAAGCAAUGAUUAGAUCAUAUAUUUUAGAUUUUUAUGCACAAUGAGAUUAUGUGAAAAAAUUUGUACAUGCUAGUGACAAGACUUGUAUUGAACAAGUUAGGAUGAAUAAAGUUACUUUUUUAAAA